rnacentral:sRNA from 1 species
UGGAAGUUCUUCUAAAUGAGGAUGUC